rnacentral:rRNA from 1 species
GACGAACGCUGGCGGCGUGCUUAACACAUGCAAGUCGAACGGAAAGGCCCUGCUUGCAGGGUACUCGAGUGGCGAACGGGUGAGUAACACGUGGGUGAUCUGCCCUGCACUUCGGGAUAAGCCUGGGAAACUGGGUCUAAUACCGGAUAGGAGCCAUUUUUAGUGUGAUGGUUGGAAAGUUUUUUCGGUGUGGGAUGAGCUCGCGGCCUAUCAGCUUGUUGGUGGGGUAAUGGCCUACCAAGGCGGCGGCGGGUAGGCGGCCUGAGGGGGUGGACGGCCACAUUGGGACUGAGGUACGGCCCAGACUCCUACGGGAGGCAGUAGUGGGGAAUAUUGCACAAUGGGGGCGAGCCUGAUGCAGCGACGCCGCGGGGGGGAUGACGGCCUUCGGGUUGUAAACGCCUUUCGCUAGGGACGAAGCUUUUUGUGACGGUACCUAGAUAAGAAGCACCGGCUAACUACGUG